rnacentral:snoRNA from 1 species
AAGACCUUACUUCAUAGGAUCAUUUCUAUAGUAAGCGCUUCACGAGAUCUACACACUACGUGUGAUCGUACCGGCCGCGAUGAGGAGAUGUGGCGCGGCGCCCUGAGCGUGAGGCGGGCGGCGGCUCUGGCCGCCAGCCCUCGAUGAUCGUUCACUGCGCUCCCGAGGGAAUGCAGCGUGGGGCGUUGUCGCUGUCUGAGUGGC